rnacentral:lncRNA from 1 species
AGCUCCUGCCAGCAAGGAAAAGCUCUUCUGCAGCGGGCUUAGACCCCAGGAGGCAGCGCCCUUCCGUAGGGCCCUUCUCUACUAACGCUCUUGGAUGAUGCUCAGAUGCCUCCCAAAUAGCUGAUGGAUGUUACCUUCAUAGAUACCUUUCCGAAAUUCUGGUUUAAAAGGCAGAGACCAUGACUGAGAAAUUGGCUUAUCCAUCAGAACUCCGAGUGAUUCUGUUUAUAUGACAAAGGCUGCACGGAGCACUGCUGCAGAGAGUAGCAGCUAUUCAUAACCUGCAGAGGGAAAAUACUGGAACGAGGACUGUGAAAGUAGAUGGAUCCAACAGGAAGGAAGGAAGGUUCCUAUGCUCAAAGCAGAGCUGUAUUUUCCCUACACCAGUGCACAGCUCCAUGCCAGCUUUCUCAGUCUUGCUUUCAAGCUUCGUCAGGCCUUUGUGGAAAUUCUAAUGGAAGCACUA